rnacentral:rRNA from 1 species
GGGUUGUGAGGUUAAGCGACUAAGCGUACACGGUGGAUGCCCUGGCAGUCAGAGGCGAUGAAGGACGUGCUAAUCUGCGAUAAGCGUCGGUAAGGUGAUAUGAACCGUUAUAACCGGCGAUUUCCGAAUGGGGAAACCCAGUGUGAUUCGUCACACUAUCAUUAACUGAAUCCAUAGGUUAAUGAGGCGAACCGGGGGAACUGAAACAUCUAAGUACCCCGAGGAAAAGAAAUCAACCGAGAUUCCCCCAGUAGCGGCGAGCGAACGGGGAGCAGCCCAGAGCCUGAAUCAGUGUGUGUGUUAGUGGAAGCGUCUGGAAAGGCGCGCGAUACAGGGUGACAGCCCCGUACACAAAAAUGCACAUGCUGUGAGCUCGAUGAGUAGGGCGGGACACGUGGUAUCCUGUCUGAAUAUGGGGGGACCAUCCUCCAAGGCUAAAUACUCCUGACUGACCGAUAGUGAACCAGUACCGUGAGGGAAAGGCGAAAAGAACCCCGGCGAGGGGAGUGAAAAAGAACCUGAAACCGUGUACGUACAAGCAGUGGGAGCCUCUUUAUGGGGUGACUGCGUACCUUUUGUAUAAUGGGUCAGCGACUUAUAUUCUGUAGCAAGGUUAACCGAAUAGGGGAGCCGAAGGGAAACCGAGUCUUAACUGGGCGUUAAGUUGCAGGGUAUAGACCCGAAACCCGGUGAUCUAGCCAUGGGCAGGUUGAAGGUUGGGUAACACUAACUGGAGGACCGAACCGACUAAUGUUGAAAAAUUAGCGGAUGACUUGUGGCUGGGGGUGAAAGGCCAAUCAAACCGGGAGAUAGCUGGUUCUCCCCGAAAGCUAUUUAGGUAGCGCCUCGUGAAUUCAUCUCCGGGGGUAGAGCACUGUUUCGGCAAGGGGGUCAUCCCGACUUACCAACCCGAUGCAAACUGCGAAUACCGGAGAAUGUUAUCACGGGAGACACACGGCGGGUGCUAACGUCCGUCGUGAAGAGGGAAACAACCCAGACCGCCAGCUAAGGUCCCAAAGUCAUGGUUAAGUGGGAAACGAUGUGGGAAGGCCCAGACAGCCAGGAUGUUGGCUUAGAAGCAGCCAUCAUUUAAAGAAAGCGUAAUAGCUCACUGGUCGAGUCGGCCUGCGCGGAAGAUGUAACGGGGCUAAACCAUGCACCGAAGCUGCGGCAGCGACACUUAUGUGUUGUUGGGUAGGGGAGCGUUCUGUAAGCCUGCGAAGGUGUACUGUGAGGUAUGCUGGAGGUAUCAGAAGUGCGAAUGCUGACAUAAGUAACGAUAAAGCGGGUGAAAAGCCCGCUCGCCGGAAGACCAAGGGUUCCUGUCCAACGUUAAUCGGGGCAGGGUGAGUCGACCCCUAAGGCGAGGCCGAAAGGCGUAGUCGAUGGGAAACAGGUUAAUAUUCCUGUACUUGGUGUUACUGCGAAGGGGGGACGGAGAAGGCUAUGUUGGCCGGGCGACGGUUGUCCCGGUUUAAGCGUGUAGGCUGGUUUUCCAGGCAAAUCCGGAAAAUCAAGGCUGAGGCGUGAUGACGAGGCACUACGGUGCUGAAGCAACAAAUGCCCUGCUUCCAGGAAAAGCCUCUAAGCAUCAGGUAACAUCAAAUCGUACCCCAAACCGACACAGGUGGUCAGGUAGAGAAUACCAAGGCGCUUGAGAGAACUCGGGUGAAGGAACUAGGCAAAAUGGUGCCGUAACUUCGGGAGAAGGCACGCUGAUACGUAGGUGAAGCGACUUGCUCGUGGAGCUGAAAUCAGUCGAAGAUACCAGCUGGCUGCAACUGUUUAUUAAAAACACAGCACUGUGCAAACACGAAAGUGGACGUAUACGGUGUGACGCCUGCCCGGUGCCGGAAGGUUAAUUGAUGGGGUUAGCGGUAACGCGAAGCUCUUGAUCGAAGCCCCGGUAAACGGCGGCCGUAACUAUAACGGUCCUAAGGUAGCGAAAUUCCUUGUCGGGUAAGUUCCGACCUGCACGAAUGGCGUAAUGAUGGCCAGGCUGUCUCCACCCGAGACUCAGUGAAAUUGAACUCGCUGUGAAGAUGCAGUGUACCCGCGGCAAGACGGAAAGACCCCGUGAACCUUUACUAUAGCUUGACACUGAACAUUGAGCCUUGAUGUGUAGGAUAGGUGGGAGGCUUUGAAGUGUGGACGCCAGUCUGCAUGGAGCCGACCUUGAAAUACCACCCUUUAAUGUUUGAUGUUCUAACGUUGGCCCCUAAUCGGGGUUGCGGACAGUGUCUGGUGGGUAGUUUGACUGGGGCGGUCUCCUCCUAAAGAGUAACGGAGGAGCACGAAGGUUGGCUAAUCCUGGUCGGACAUCAGGAGGUUAGUGCAAUGGCAUAAGCCAGCUUGACUGCGAGCGUGACGGCGCGAGCAGGUGCGAAAGCAGGUCAUAGUGAUCCGGUGGUUCUGAAUGGAAGGGCCAUCGCUCAACGGAUAAAAGGUACUCCGGGGAUAACAGGCUGAUACCGCCCAAGAGUUCAUAUCGACGGCGGUGUUUGGCACCUCGAUGUCGGCUCAUCACAUCCUGGGGCUGAAGUAGGUCCCAAGGGUAUGGCUGUUCGCCAUUUAAAGUGGUACGCGAGCUGGGUUUAGAACGUCGUGAGACAGUUCGGUCCCUAUCUGCCGUGGGCGCUGGAGAACUGAGGGGGGCUGCUCCUAGUACGAGAGGACCGGAGUGGACGCAUCACUGGUGUUCGGGUUGUCAUGCCAAUGGCACUGCCCGGUAGCUAAAUGCGGAAGAGAUAAGUGCUGAAAGCAUCUAAGCACGAAACUUGCCCCGAGAUGAGUUCUCCCUGACUCCCUGAGAGUCCUGAAGGAACGUUGAAGACGACGACGUUGAUAGGCCGGGUGUGUAAGCGCAGCGAUGCGUUGAGCUAACCGGUACUAAUGAACCGUGAGGCUUAACCUUACAACGCCGAAG